rnacentral:lncRNA from 1 species
CUCUUCAUCAUCCUCCUCCUCUUCCUCCCCCUUGUGGAGGGCCGGGACAUCAUAGGAGCAGAGGUGCUCGUGCUCGUCGUUGUGGUAGCCAUGGCCGUCGCGUGCGGCGUGGGUAUUCCCGACCCACGCGCCCAGAUCACCGUCGUAGUGCGCCUGGCCUUCGAACGACAGGUACCAGGUGUCGUACUGCGUCCAGCACCCCCACCCGCUCUCCGUGUCCAGCAUGAAGGUCCCCAGUUUCUGCACGCUGCACCGCUCCUUCUUGCCACCCUCUUGCUUCUCCGGCUCCUCC